UUUUGGAAAAUUUGUGUUAUGUUCCGAAAAAUAUUGGUUGUCCGGAAAAUUUUUUUGACCCCUAAAAUGGUACAGUGACCGAAAAUUUUUUUGGCGACGGGGGGGAAGGGGCAAGGGAGGCCAAAAUAAUUUUUCCGGAAAAAUUUUUUUGGACUAGUCGGGCAGAAUCCGAAAAGUCGGGCAAUUUUCUUUCCGCCCCCCUAAUUUUUUCCUUCCGGUACGCCCAUGAGUACGUUUGGUUUUUAUCCCAUAC